rnacentral:rRNA from 1 species
UACGUAGGGUGCGAGCGUUAAUCGGAAUUACUGGGCGUAAAGUGUGCGCAGGCGGCCGAGCAAGUCGAGUGUGAAAGCCCCGAGCUUAACUUGGGAACUGCGCUCGAAACUACUUGGCUAGAGUGUGGCAGAGGGAGGUGGAAUUCCACGUGUAGCGGUGAAAUGCGCAGAUAUCAGGAGGAACACCGGUGGCGAAGGCGGGUCUCUGGGCCGAUACUGACGCUGAGGAGCGAAAGCGUGGGGAGCAAACAGG